rnacentral:rRNA from 1 species
CCUACGGGAUGCAGCAGUGGGGAAUAUUGGACAAUGGGCGAAAGCCUGAUCCAGCCAUGCCGCGUGUGUGAAGAAGGCCUUCGGGUUGUAAAGCACUUUCAGUGGGGAAGAAAGCCUUGGGGCUAAUACCCUCGAGGAAGGACAUCACCCACAGAAGAAGCACCGGCUAACUCCGUGCCAGCAGCCGCGGUAAUACGGAGGGUGCGAGCGUUAAUCGGAAUUACUGGGCGUAAAGCGCGCGUAGGCGGUCUGAUAAGCCGGUUGUGAAAGCCCCGGGCUCAACCUGGGAACGGCAUCCGGAACUGGCAGGCUAGAGUGCAGGAGAGGAAGGUAGAAUUCCCGGUGUAGCGGUGAAAUGCGUAGAGAUCGGGAGGAAUACCAGUGGCGAAGGCGGCCUUCUGGACUGACACUGACGCUGAGGUGCGAAAGCGUGGGUAGCAAACAGGAUUAGAUACCCGGGUAGUC